rnacentral:rRNA from 1 species
AGAGUUUGAUCUGGCUCAGAAUCAACGCUGGCGGCGCGCUAACACAUGCAAGUCGCACGAGAAAGUGGAGCAAUCCAUGAGUACAGUGGCGUACGGGUGAGUAACACGUGGAUCAUCUACCUCCUAGUGGGGAAUAACCAUGGGAAACCGUGGCUAAUACCGCAUAAGCUCGAGAGAGGAAAGCAGCAAUGCGCUGGGAGAGGAGUCCGCGGCCGAUUAGCUAGUUGGCAGGGUAAAAGCCUACCAAGGCAAAGAUCGGUAGCCGGCCUGAGAGGGCACACGGCCACACUGGCACUGAAACACGGGCCAGACUCCUACGGGAGGCAGCAGUGGGGAAUCUUGCACAAUGGGGGAAACCCUGAUGCAGCGACGCCGCGUGAGCGAUGAAGCCCUUCGGGGUGUAAAGCUCUUUCGGCAGGGAAGAUUAUGACGGUACCUGCAGAAGCAGCUGCGGCUAACUACGUGCCAGCAGCCGCGGUAAUACGUAGGCAGCAAGCGUUGUUCGGAGUUACUGGGCGUAAAGGGUGUGUAGGCGGUUGUUUAAGUUUGGUGUGAAAUCUCCCGGCUCAACUGGGAGGGUGCGCCGAAUACUGAAUGACUAGAGUGCGGGAGAGGAAAGUGGAAUUCCUGGUGUAGCGGUGAAAUGCGUAGAUAUCAGGAGGAACACCGGUGGUGUAAACGGCUUUCUGGACCGUAACUGACGCUGAAACACGAAAGCGUGGGGAGCAAACAGGAUUAGAUACCCUAGUAGUCC